GCUACAAGUACAGCGGGCUGGUACAGCUCGACAUCGGCGAAAGCGAGUUUUGUGGCGAUCUGGACUUUGAAGCAGGGACAUUAAAGGCGCUCGGUCUGCUCCGUCCUGAAGCCGGGGCGUCCGGGCCAGGCUGGCGGCCAACCCAGCUCGACCGGCCGUGCCUUCCUUUCUUCGGGCGAACGUUCGAUCGCUGGGCAUCAACAUGCCUGCUGAGAUCUAUGAAACGGACAGUGCGUAACUGCUGUGCAUCUGGAGCGGCUAGCGUGCUAUCGGGCGGACCGGGCCAUUGUACGAGGGGGAACAUCGCGAGGAGGUGGAAUGCGUGUCUACAUCCGUGACGAAUGGUGCCGGGACUCUGUGGUGGGAUGCAAGCACUGCUCGCCUCUGGCGAAGUUUGUGAUCUUCAGGCUUUUGGCGUCCUGAACUCUCUCCCCCGUUGUUUACUUGUAUGUUACUCGUGUACUGUGUCUCGUCACCGUGGGAUGGAGGAAACGUAAUUUCGAUUUCUUUGUGUGUCUUGGCAUGAAGGAAUUGACAAUAAAGCUGACUCUGA